UUUCUUUUUUAUUUUGUUUUUAAUGAAAAAUAUGGUGAAAGACAAAAUAACCCUUAAUGAAAUAGCUCAAUUACAAAGAUCCAACUAAAAACUCCGACCCAUCCCAGUCCAACCCGAUAUAACCUGGAUCUUAACCUAAACGACGGCGUUUCCUUCCCAUCCUAUACCCAAUCUCUCUAACUUCUCUCAUUUCGCAGGUCUCCCCCCCAGCUCUCUCUCGCGACAGGGAACCGAAACCCUAGGAAACGAAUCGCGUUGUUCGUUAUUCUUCAUCCAUCUAAAUCAAACGUCUAUAAAUUUAUGCCUCUCACUUCUCGUGUCUCAACUCUCUCUAUGUCUCUAAAUUGGGACCAAAACCGUUCUGAAACCCUAGAGUCGAAAAUCGAUUCGCUCCAUCAAAAUCCAGGUUCCAUCCUUCGUUUCUUCUGGUCGGAACCGUUGAACUAAUUGAAGUUAUUAGAGCAGAGUUUAUGACAUCCUCUGCGUUCAUAUUCUUUAUGAGAACCGGCUGUUUCUUAUAUUCAGAAACUGCAACGUGUCUGUGUGGAAUUUCGCGGAGAGCUCGUGAUUUCCUUUAACAUAAUGGUGGAUGCCAGUGGUGAAAGGAAGCAAAUAGUCAUCCACAAAGUGGUUCCAUUUUCUCGAGUUCAAGGUCUAGGAUAAGAAAGAGCCUGAAGAAAAAGAAGAAAAGAAAGAUUGACAGAAGAAAAAAAAAAGAAAAGAAAUUGAGUAUGUUUUAUUGUUUUGAUCUUUUCUUCAAGGUAGUUGAAACAUGAAUGUUUAAAAAUUGUAUCUGUUGCAAAAGACAAGGUAGAAUAACUAAUUUUAUUAUGUUUAUUAUGCCCGAAAAAAUUAUUGAGUA